rnacentral:rRNA from 1 species
UACGGAGGGUGCAAGCGUUAAUCGGAAUUACUGGGCGUAAAGGGUGCGUAGGCGGUUGUGCAAGUCGCGUGUGAAAGCCCCCGGCUCAACUGGGGAGGGUCACGCGAUACUGUUCGACUUGAAGGCAGGAGAGGGAAGUGGAAUUCCCGGUGUAGUGGUGAAAUGCGUAGAUAUCGGGAGGAACACCAGUGGCGAAGGCGACUUCCUGGCCUGUUCUUGACGCUGAGGCGCGAAAGCUAGGGUAGCAAACGGG